rnacentral:rRNA from 1 species
GACGAACGCUGGCGGCGUGCUUAACACAUGCAAGUCGAACGAUGAAGCCGGAGCUUGCUCUGGUGAAUUAGUGGCGAACGGGUGAGUAACACGUGAGUAACCUGCCCUUGACUCUGGGAUAACGGCGGGAAACUGUAGCUAAUACCGGAUACGACCCUCGGAGGCAUCUCCUGGGGGUGGCAAGAAUUUCGGUCCAGGAUGGACUCGCGGCCUAUCAGCUAGUUGGUGAGGUAAAGGCUCACCAAGGCGACGACGGGUAGCCGGCCUGAGAGGGUGACCGGCCACACUGGGACUGAGACACGGCCCAGACUCCUACGGGAGGCAGCAGUGGGGAAUAUUGCACAAUGGGCGCACGCCUGAUGCAGCAACGCCGCGUGAGGGAUGACGGCCUUCGGGUUGUAAACCUCUUUUAGCAGGGAAGAAGCGAAAGUGACGGUACCUGCAGAAAAAGCACCGGCUAACUACGUGCCAGCCGCCGCAGUAA